rnacentral:rRNA from 1 species
UACGUAGGGUGCGAGCGUUUGUCCGGAAUUAUUGGGCGUAAAGAGCUCGUAGGCGGUUUGUCGCGUCUGCUGUGAAAACUCGGGGGCUUAACCCCCGGGCCUGCAGUGGGUACGGGCAGACUAGAGUGCGGUAGGGGAGACUGGAAUUCCUGGUGUAGCGGUGAAAUGCGCAGAUAUCAGGAGGAACACCGGUGGCGAAGGCGGGUCUCUGGGCCGUAACUGGACGCUGAGGAGCGAAAGCGUGGGGAGCGAACAGG